UACGAAGGGGGGCUAGCGUUGUUCGGAAUUACUGGGCGUAAAGCGCACGUAGGCGGGUUGUUAAGUCAGGGGUGAAAUCCUGGAGCUCAACUCCAGAACUGCCUUUGAUACUGGCAACCUAGAGACUGGAAGAGGUUAGUGGAAUUCCCCAGUGUAGAGGUGAAAUUCGUAGAUAUUGGGAAGAACACCAGUGGCGAAGGCGGCUAACUGGUCCAGCACUGACGCUGAGGUGCGAAAGCGUGGGGAGCAAACAGG
rnacentral:rRNA from 1 species